rnacentral:rRNA from 1 species
GAUGAACGCUGGCGGCGUGCCUAAUACAUGCAAGUCGAGCGAACAGACGAGGAGCUUACUCCUCUGACGUUAGCGGCGGACGGGUGAGUAACACGUGGAUAACCUACCCAUAAGACUGGGAUAACUUCGGGAAACCGGAGCUAAUACCGGAUAACAUGUUGAACCGCAUGGUUCAACAGUGAAAGACGGUCUUGCUGUCACUUAUAGAUGGAUCCGCGUCGCAUUAGCUAGUUGGUAAGGUAACGGCUUACCAAGGCAACGAUGCGUAGCCGACCUGAGAGGGUGAUCGGCCACACUGGAACUGAGACACGGUCCAGACUCCUACGGGAGGCAGCAGUAGGGAAUCUUCCGCAAUGGGCGAAAGCCUGACGGAGCAACGCCGCGUGAGUGAAGAAGGUCUUCGGAUCGUAAAACUCUGUUAUUAGGGAAGAACAAAUGUGUAAGUAACUAUGCACGUCUUGACGGUACCUAAUCAGAGAGCCACGGCUAACUACGUG